UCUUCGAUAGCUCAGUUGGUAGAGCGGUGGACUGUAGCGAGUUUAGCGUCGAUCAUCAGUUCCAAAGCAUCUCAAAGUGCAUCUGAUGAUCACCCUGUGAAUAGAAAUCCAUAGGUCACUGGUUCAAAUCCGGUUCGAAGGA
rnacentral:tRNA from 1 species